rnacentral:rRNA from 2 species
AGACCCGAAACCCGGUGAUCUAGCCAUGGGCAGGUUGAAGGUUGGGUAACACUAACUGGAGGACCGAACCGACUAAUGUUGAAAAAUUAGCGGAUGACCUGUGGCUGGGGGUGAAAGGCCAAUCAAACCGGGAGAUAGCUGGUUCUCCCCGAAAGCUAUUUAGGUAGCGCCUCGUGAAUUCAUCUCCGGGGGUAGAGCACUGUUUCGGCUAGGGGGCCAUCCCGGCUUACCAACCCGAUGCAAACUGCGAAUACCGGAGAAUGUUAUCACGGGAGACACACGGCGGGUGCUAACGUCCGUCGUGAAGAGGGAAACAACCCAGACCGCCAGCUAAGGUCCCAAAGUCAUGGUUAAGUGGGAAACGAUGUGGGAAGGCCCAGACAGCCAGGAUGUUGGCUUAGAAGCAGCCAUCAUUUAAAGAAAGCGUAAUAGCUCACUGGUCGAGUCGGCCUGCG